rnacentral:rRNA from 1 species
UACGGAGGAUUCGAGCGUUAUCCGGAUUUAUUGGGUUUAAAGGGUGCGUAGGCUGUCGGAUAAGUUAGAGGUCAAAUGUCGGGGCUUAACCCCGUGCCUGCCUCUGAUACUGUUCGACUGGAGAGCGGAUGCAGCAGGCGGAAUGAGUAGUGUAGCGGUGAAAUGCAUAGAUAUCACGCAGAACUCCGAUCGCGAAGGCAGCCUACCGGCGCGCUACUGACGCUCAUGCACGAAAGCGUGGGUAUCGAACAGG